UUUCAAUGCCAUUUGGACUCAGCUCAACCACUACAGAGGAAACAAUGACUUCAACACAAAAGGACCAAAAUGGAGCGAGAAGUAAGCGCACUCAGGAGGUCAACAAACGUCACAGAAGAAAGGGAGAGAAAACAUACAGCUGUAAUGAGUGUGGAAAGUCUUUUACCCGGGCUGAAGGCUUAAAAAGACACAAAUUCAUCCACAGUGGAGUUAAAGCUUACAGCUGUGACUUGUGUGGAAAGUCUUUUACCCUGGCUGGAGGCUUAAAAAGACACAAAUUUUCCCUGGCUCACAUCUUCAAAACGCACCAAUUCAUCCACAGAGGAGUUAAACCUUACAGAUGUGACUUGUGUGGAAAGUCUUUCAACCGGGCUCAAAACUUAAAAAGACACCAACUCAUCCACAGUGGAGUUAAAGCUUACAGCUGUGAGUUGUGUGGAAAGUCUUUUUCCCUGGCUCAAACCUUAGAAACACACCAGCUCAUCCACAGUGGAUUUAAACCUUACAUCUGUGAGUUGUGUGGUAAAGCCUUUGCUCAAAGUUGCAGCUUAAAGAAGCAUCUAGUUACCCACUCUGGAAUUAAGCUGUACAGCUGUGACUUGUGUGGAAAAACUUUCAGUGAAAAAAAGUACCGAAAUAUUCACCUACGGACUCACACUGGAAAUGAUGUUUCCUGCUGUGAUCAGUGUGGAAAACCGUUUACAACAGAUGCACAGUUAAAAAUACACAUGUUUAGCCACACUGAGGAGAGACCUUAUAAAUGUGACCUGUGUGAGAAGACUUUUAAAGCUCCACAUCACCUGAAAAAACACCAACAGAUCCACACCAGAAAGUAACUCUACUAGUGCAGUUACUGUGAGGUAUGUAUUUAUCUUUUUAUCCUGUAAUUUUAACCUGAUUGUUUGGAACAAGUCUGAUCGGUAAUUUUGUGGAAUUACAUUGAAUGAACUGUUUAGAAAAAGGAAGAGUCAUCUUUGUCCGGUAAGCUGAGUGUUGUAACAGUAAAAUGUAAUUGGAUGUUGGCAGAGAUGCUUUUUAUUUCAGGCAACGUUCAGGAUAAAAACGUUGAAGGAAUUCCCUGACUCACACUGUCUUUGUUUAGAAGUGGAGCAAAGCACAUGGAUCCAGUUCUCAGCCCUGCCGUCACUGUGGUGGUGGGAAAGAGUUUUUCUGUGACCUUCCAAUCAUCAAUGGGACCUAAAAAUACAUCAACGUAGACACACUGGAGACAAAAUGAACUACUGCAAAGAAUGUGGGAGAAGCUUCCACACACCAAGUACAUUAAAAA